ensembl:lncRNA
AAGGCCAAAAACUCUUAAGGUGCUCAUCUUGGAGUAUGAAAUGCAGGACUGCAACAGUGUGUUGAUGGGAAUAGUUUAAAUCUUACUGGAUUAUUUGUACAGCAAUAAAAAUGACCAAUGGUGAGCUUGUCUACACAUCUGCUCUUACCUACACUUCUGAGGUGUUUGCUGGCACUCCGAUUACCCGUUCAGAUGGUGCAGUUAUUGGUGUUCAAUGCCAUUAUCAAAGGUAUGAAGCUGAGGAGUCUGCACAUGGCCAGGAAUAAUACCAUUUUAUCCUGAUCUAUUCAAGUGUGUGUGUGUUUGUUUUUUUUUUGUUUUUUUUGUUUUUGUUUUGUUUUCUCCGUUUUACCCAAUAAAAAUGUGAUUUAGAGA